UAAUAAGUGUUUUAUGGCACUUUUUAAAUCCAUAUCCACCUUGUGUGCAAUGUCGGUCGAUCUUCUUCAUGGAGAUCGACCAAACAUCAACCUUUAUCUUUUAACCCUUUGUCUGAAAAAUAUUAUGAAUAAACAAUUCAAAAUA
rnacentral:misc_RNA from 1 species